AUCUCCUUCAAUAUUGACUGUUGCCUGUAAAAGAAGACAAGUAGUUGUUGGCAUGAAGCCCCUCAUAUAAUACAGGGUUAAGUUAUGAUCUACAAGCUGCAAUUGCUCAUUUCCUUUGGUAAAAUGAACAAAAAAAAAAUGGUUAUGGAUGGAAGUAUAAAUUUAAUUCAAUCCCUUUAUUCAAGCAUACCAAGAGCAAAAGAAACACUCCACAACUACCCACAAAAAAAAGGCUGCUUUUCUCCAGGGGAGAGUAAGGAACAAUCAACAAUCUACUUCAGAAACAGGGAUUAGUUUUGGUUAAAUCCAUCCAUCUGACAGAACCAAAGGCAAAUGAACCUAUAAUGAGUUACAAAACUUAUCAUAGGCACAAGAUGUUUGAUUAACAUAUCUCAUUGUAAGUACUAAAGUUUAGUAUAUUGUAAUUGUGAAGUUAUAAAUCAGAUUCUUUGCAUACCUUAGGUCAAUGAAUGUCAAUUAAAAAAGUCUAUGAAUGAGGCCUCCUUUCUCUUAUUGAGAACAAUGUCAUAUUAUGGGAGACUCUACCAGCAAUUCUUUCAAGUUUCUACUGAAAUUUGAAGACCAAGAUUGAAAUUUAUAUCAGACUCUUGCUUAUAUCUUAGCUGCUCCCAUAUUGAUCAUGACCAAGCGAGUUUAAACCCAAAAUCAAUCAAUAGAGAAUAUAAGCCUCUAAAAUUCAACAUAAAAAAUAGUUUGGACUACAAAUCGUCAGGAAUUAGCAAACAUUUAAAUAAGCCAUGGGAAAGCAGAUACAAGGCAUAGUUCCCCUGAUUUGCAUCAAAACUGGAAUAGAAUUUUACAUGUAUUUGAGAAUUG
rnacentral:misc_RNA from 1 species